rnacentral:tRNA from 1 species
GAGAAUAUGGUUCAGUGGUAGAGCACAUGCUUAGUAUGCAUGAGGUCCUGGCUUCAAUUCCCAGUACCUCA